UCUACGCCCUUUUUACCUACAUAGACUCUCUCUCUCUCUCUCACACACAGACACACACACACAAACACUGUAAAACACGUAUACAUACAUAUAUACAUACAUACAUGCAUGCAUACAUACGUACAUACAUACAUAAAGAGACACAAAUAAUACAGAUGCGUAACCUGCUAGAAACAGCAGUCCGAUCCCGUCAAGUCGCAUCCUGCUAUCUUAUAAAAUGAAGGACAUACCAUGUAGUCCUAAAUGCACGAAGAGGUGUGUUGGUCAUGAUUGGAAAGUUUGACUAUGGAUCUACACGGUUAGCUUUAAACUACAAUAAUAACAAUAUUCACACACCCUGUUACGCCAGCCCAACUCAGACACACACGCACACUACACGUACGCACCCACGCGCGCGCGCAUGCACAUACGCACGCUUUACAGCCACACCCUGGUAUAUUUUGCACGACUCAAACACACGGACAAACACUCGUAAGUUUACACUGUCACGUAUAGAGAUAUUAACAGACAUAUAGUACACACAAACACACACACGGACACACAGACACAUAUCUUUCUCCUGACCCACACACUAAACAUGAUCCAACAUGCGAGGGCAUCUAAAUGGUCAUUCGACUUGCUAGAAAUAGCAGCCGAAUUCUCUCUUUUUACAUUGUACCUGACUAUAUAUAUAUACACUAGCGGGUGCUGAAAAGUUCCUGGCUUUAAGGGAUGGAGGCCCAGCCUUCCGAGUUCUUUUACAGGGCUUAGAUAGACUGAAGGACCGCUGCAAUAAGUGUGAGAAAUCUGAGGGGAAUAUGUUGGAAAAAAUCAUAAUUAACUGAUCCUCCUGUACUUUCUUAUACCCAAAGCCAGAAACUCUUGAGUAUCCCCUUGUAUAUAUAUAUAAGAAAAUGAAGGCUUCGUUACACAAUGUACUAGAUAUACGAAAAGACGGAAUACUUCACGGCUGUGACACUUUUCUUCAUGCUGAAUCAGGGCUGAUCUGGGGUUAAACAACAAACCAACGCAUUAUAGCAAACGUAUUUCACGAAAAUAUGAAAAUAUAUAGACAUAAAAGUAACGUGCAGGCGCACAUUACACACGCGUACACACGCGCGCUCACACUCACAGACAUACAGUCACAGUUAUGUAAUGACACAAUACUAACAACCGAGCCAACGGAGGAACCGAUCCGCUCGAAAUAACAGCCAGAUUUCACGCGAUCCACUGGAAAUAAGUGCUAGAUUUCCCUCAAAUCGUAUCAAGCUGAGAAAAAUAGGACAGGACUCAUUCGAUAACCUAUUCUUAAAAACCUUGAAAAGACGGGAUGGUCCUGAUUGGAACGCUGGCAUUAUGUACAGACAUAUCUAGACGGAUUAUCGCUCUCACGCACACACAUCCAUUCUCACACUUACUCACUCUCAACUCACUCACAUAACUUCUCUUACACUCACUCACUCACUCACUCACUCACUCAUGUCCUCCAUUACGAUAUCCCUUCAUUUACUGCUCAAGCUAUUACUCUCUCACUCAUACACUUUCUGUUCUCCAUAUCUCUUUCUCUCUCUCUCUCUCUAUCUACUUUAUCUCUCUAUCAUUCUCACAGCUUGCUCUACAUGCCUCUCUUUCCCACCCUCACUCUACUCUCUCUCUCUGUCUCUAUGUCUCUCUCGUCCUUCUCGGUCUAUUUUAACAGCCUAUCUCUGUCUGUCUGUUUGUCUGUCUCUGUCUGUCUCUCUCUUUCUCUCACUCUUUCUGUCUGUCUGCUUCCUUGUCCUUAGUGUUAUUCCUUUCUUUUCCUUGGCCUUAUUCCCUUCUCUGUCUCUAAAACAUUACUUCUCCUCCUCUCCUCACUCUGCCCCUCCUUGUCCUUUUUCACUUCCUCCCCUUCCUCUCUCUCUCUUUCUCUCCCUCAUUCCUUCUCACUCCCCUUCUAUCUGCUGAUUUUAUACCACUUCUCUGUUUCUAUAUAAUUUCUCCCUCUCUCUUCCACCCUAUCUUUUGUUACUCUUUGUCUAUUCUAUCUUCCCCUCUCUCUCUUCCUCCCUCUCUGCGUUCUCUUACUAUAUGUUUAUGUAUGUGUAUAUAUAUAUAUAUAUAUAUAUAUGUAUGUGUGUAUGUAUAUACAGAGAGAGAGAGAGAGAGAGAUUUCGGUCGACUUUUGUGUGUAUAUGUGUAUGUCUCUACCCUUCCCUCUCUCCUCUUUCUCUUUCUCUCUGUAUGUAUACACACACACACGCACACACACACACACACGCAGACACACACACACACACACACACACGUAAUCACUCUGUUUCUCACUUCUUUAGUCUACCCUAUCUCCCCGCUAUUAUAUAAUUUCCUCUCUCUCAAUCUAUUCUGCCUUUCUCUUUCUCUUUUAUUACUACUACUCUUUCUUACUUAGUCUACGUUACUGAUUCUCUAGGAUUUUUUUCUUUCUCCCUCUCUGCCCAUUCUCUGUUUCUCUUUCUCUUCAUAACUCUUCCCACUCCCCUCAGUCCACCCUAUAUCUGUCAUUAUAUAAUUUUACCCCUCUCUCAGUCUACUCUAUAUCACCCAUCUCUCUCUUUCUCUCUCUCUCUCUUUCUCUCUCUCUCUCUCUCUCUCUCUCUCUCUCUCUUUCUCUCAGUUACAUUACCUCUAUAUGAUCUCAUUUCUCCGUCUACCACUUCUCUUUCUCGACAUACACUAUCUCUUUUUCUCUCUCAAGUCUCUCUCUAUAUAUAGAUACACACACACACACACACACACAUAUAUAUAAUUUCUUCUCUCUGAGUGAACGUGGGAACCUUUUUACAUUCACUCGACCUGUUAGUAAUAGCAGCUUAAUUUCUCUCAAAUCAUCUUGGUCUUAAAAGAAGGGAUAGUUAUUGUGCAAUAUAGCCUCUGACGGGAUAGUAAAACAACUAGAGCAAUUUUGAUCAUAGUUCCGCUUGAUCAAUGCUGGACCUGUGGUUAAACACCGUCGCCGUCUCUACACAAUUACCUCUUUUGCUCUCCUGCUUCUCACUCUAGUCUAUCUCUCUAUUUCAUUUCAUCGAACCUCUUUCUUAGUCUACACUACACCCCCUCUCUCUCUCUCUCUCUUUAUUUCCCCCCUCUCUCACUCUUUCUCAGUUUACCAUAUUACACAACCUCUCUCCUACUCUUUAAUCUUUCUCUCACAUAAUCUCUACAUCCCAGUCUACAAAACCCAUCGCCUUCACUACCCAAUUCUCUUCUUCACCCUCCCUCACUGCUUCACGCCCGCCUCUGACUCGCCCUCUGUGAUUUUCUUCACACGAACACACGCACGCAUUCUCUCUCUUUUUUUCUCUCUAUCUCACUCUCUUUCUCUCUCUCAGUCUAUCAAACGUCACUCAAUGAAUUUACCUCCCCUUCUAUGUUCACACUAUUUUCUAUUCUUUCUCUCUCUUGAUUCUGACUGCCUCUCCUCUCCUCUUUUUCGCUGCCUACCUCUCUCUUUAUCUCUAUCAAUCUCCUUCAGCCCUCUAUCCUUGCAUAAUUUUCCCUCCUUGUCAGUUGAAUCAUUCUUUCAAUCGUCUUCUUUCUGUGUUGCUCCCUUUCUUUCUAUCACUCUCUCUUCGCUCCUUAUAUUUUACUUCUUUUCCUUCUCCAUUUCUUUUCUGUAUUUCAGCCACUUUCCCCUUCAAUUCUCUCUUAUUUGAUCUAUCUAUUUAUUUCUCUCGAUCAGUUUCCCCCUACCUCCCUGCUUGUAUAUUAAGUUCUCUCACUCUACUUUUCUCUUUCUUUCUUCCUUUCUUUCUUUUCCUGUCUAUCUCUCUCUUUCAUCCACUUACUCUACCUCUCUUCCUAUCUCUGUUUUAACACAUCCACAUAUAUUAUAUAUAUAUAUAUAUAUAUAUAUAUAUAUAUAUACAUACACACAUACAUAUAAAUAUAUACAUACAUACACACACACACAUAUACCUAUGCAUGUCUAAUGUGGGUAUUUCUCUCUCUCCCUCUCUCCCUCUUUCUCCCUUCCUCCCUAUUCAUCUCUCUCUACCCCUGUCUAAGCUAACCCUCUUUGCAUUUAAUGUCUGCCCUCUUAACUUUCUGUCACAAUAUCAUUUCCUUUCUCCCUCUACCCACUUUCCUCUUAUAACUCAUUCCCCACUCACCCUUCCAUAAUAUAUCUUUUAUCAUUUAUCGUCUGCUUGCUUCCGUCAUUGGACUGCAGCCAUACUGGGGCAUUGCCUUGAAGGGUUUAGUCGAACAAAUUACCCUUUGUAUCUAUUUUACCUUUUUUAAGUCUGGCACUUAUUCUACCUGUCCCUUUUAAAUUUUAAUACCGAACUGCUAAGUUAUGGGUAAGCGUAAAUAAACGAACACCGGUUGUCAAGCGGUGGUUAGACACACACACACAUACACACACAUGACGGACUUCUUGCAGGUUUCGUCUACCUAAUCCACUCACAAGGCUUUGCUCGGCCCGAAGCUAUAGCAGAAGACACUUACCUAAGGUGCGACGCAGUGGGACUGAACCUGAAACCAUGCGGUUGGGAAGCAAACUUCUAACCACACCACCACGCCUGCGCAUCUCUCUCUCUCUCUCUUUCCCCCUCAGUCUACGCAACAUCUCUGUGCUUAUAUCACAUCCUUCUCUCCUUCUCCCUCAGUCUAGUCUAUGUUUUUUCUUACCCUCUCUCUCGCAAUAUUACCUUUCUGUCUGACUCUCUUUUUCACCCACUAUAUUACAUGACUCUUUUUCUUUAGUCCGUUCCCCACCCCACGCACUUUCAUUACACUUUUUCUUAGCAACUUUCUUUUCUUUUCCUUCGUUAAUUUCUUUCCUUCUUUCUUUCUUUCUUUCUUUCUUUCUUUCUUUCUUUCUUUCUUUCUUUCUUUCUUUCUUUCUUUCUUCCUUUCUUUCUUUCUUUCUUUCUUUCUUUCUUUCUUUCUUUCUUUCUUUCUUUCCUUUCUUUCUUUCUUCCUUUCUUUCCUUCUUUCUUUCCUUCCUUUAUUUCCUUUCUUUCUUUCUUUCUUUCUUUCUUUCUUUCUUUCUUUCUUUCUUUCUUUCUUUCUUUCUUUCUUUCUUUCUUUCUUUCUUUCUUUCUUCAUUUAUUGCCUGCUAUUUAUUUCCCUACAUUUUUUUCUCUCAGACCUCUUUCCAACAGAAUCUCACGCUUUGUUUCUCUUUUACUCUUUCUCCCUCUCUCUCUCUCUCUCUCACACAUUUCUCUUUCUCUCUCUCUCAUUCUCACAUACACACACACACACUCACCUCUCUUUCUCUCUCUCUCACACACAGACUCACAGACAUCACUCUCUGUUACACACACACACACGCACGCACACAUCUCUCUCUCUCUCACUCACACACUCACAAAGACACACAUCUCUCCCCCUCUCUCUCUCUCGUGCACACACACACAUACACACACACACACAUACACACACGCAGUCAUUUCUCUCCCUUUCACCCAGCAACACACUCUCACUUUCUAUCACAAUCACACAUUCCCAAUUACUCUCUCUUUCUAUCCCUCCAUAUCACAAUCACCAUCACACACACACACACACACACACACGCACAUACACACACACACACACACACAUACACACACACUUACACACACAUACACGCACACACAGUCACAGUAAGGUAGUCUACUCCUCUCUCUCUCUCUCUCUCUGUUACAUACUCCAUUUCUAUCUAUCUCUCUGUGUUUCUUUCUCUCUCUGUCACACUCUCUUUGUCUCUCUCCCUCCCACCCACUCCCUAGCCCUUACUCUCCCUCUCUCUCCCUCUCUGUCUCCCUCUCUCUUUCUGGUUCUAACUCAUUUUCCCCCUUCUUCACAGUUGUUACGUUUCUGUUUCCCCCCUCUAUUUCAUUUCUAAUCACUUUUCUUCAUCUCUCCCUUUCUACUUCCUCUUCAGCCUCCUCCCAAUACCCCGUCUCCCCCUCCUCCUCCUCCUUCUUCUUCUUCUUCUUCUAGCAUGAUUCUCCCACUAUCAUCUCUUAUACAUUAUAUCUAUCUCACUCGCUUACAGUUGAUAUCACACACACACAUACACACACACUCACACACACACACACACACACACACACACACUCACACACACUCUCACACACACACACACGCACGCAAACACAUUCUCUCUCUCUCACACACCCCUUUGCUUUCUUUCUCUCUUUCACCCUUUCGCUCUCACUCUCUCUCACCCUCUCUUUCGCUCUACAUUUAACUAAUUUUUUCUACCAUCGCCGACGUUGUCAUCAUCAUCAUCAUCAUCAUCGUCGUCGUCGUCGUCAUCGUCGUCGUCGUCAACAUCAUCAUCGUCAUCAUCGUCAUCGUCGUUAUCACCGACGUCGUUGUUCACGUCGUCCCGUGUCGUCACUGUGGUGGUUUAUAAUUACUACCGUAAAUAUCAUCACCAUAAUCACAAUCAUCACCACCACAAGCAGCAUUGUAUGAUCAUUUUUAUUUCGAACACCACACACACACACACACACACACACACACACACACACACACACACACACACACACACACCACACACAUACACACCACACACACACGCACGCGCACGCGCACAUAGAUGCACGGCUUCACAAAAUCAUUGAAAAUUGUUAUCGAUAAAGCAGAUAUACUUUAAGAAAAAUUAUUAUUCUAAACCUGGUACUUAUUCUCUCGGUGUCUUUCGGCGAACCGCUAAGUUACGGGAACGUAAACACAUCAAUACCACUUGUCAAGUGGUUUUGGGCAACAAACACAGACACAAAGACACACACACGCACACACACACACAUAUACACAUGAAAGGCUUCUUUCAGUUUCCAACUGUUAAACCACUCAUAAGGCUUUGGUCGGCCUAAGGCUAUAGUAGAAAACACUUGCUGAAGGUUCCACGCAGUGAGACUGAAACCAGAACCAUGUGGUUGGGAAGUAAGAUUCUUAACACGCCCAUGCUGGGGUACAGCUCAGAAGGGUUUAAUAGAACAAAUCGAUCCCAGUACUUAUUUUGUCUUAAAAGCUUGUUGCUUCUUCUCUCUAUCACUUUUUGUCGAACCGCUAUGUAUAGGAGGACGUAAACAAACCGGCUCUGGUUGUGAAGCAGUAUUUGGGGACGCAUACAAACAAAAAAGCCCACACAUAGAUACACGCACACACAGAUACACACACGCACACACAUAGAUAUAUACGACCGUCUGCCAACUCCACUCAUGUGUCUUUGGGUAUAGUAAAUGCCACUUGCACACGGUACCCCACAGUGUGACUCAACUCGGAACCAUGUGGUUUAUGAAGCAAGAAUCUUACAGCAGUCCCACCUGCUUCGACUCCCUUGUUUUCCACACUGUCUGUAUAUGAUACUCUGUUGUGUCUGGGGUGAGUCAUUUUCCUUUUGUGCCUUAUAAUUUAAAACACUCACCGGUAAAAUUUCCACUUAUUUCAAGACUAUUAAGGUUGGAAGAUGCAACGAAAAUUUUAGGAAGAUAAAUAAGUUUUAAGAAAUAAGUUUUAAGAAAUAAAAAUAAGAAAUUUUACCAGUGAAUGUGUUAAAUUAUAAGGCACAAAAGAAAAAUGACUCUCCCCAGACACAACAAAAUAUGCUUCAACACACAAACUCACAAAAAGAAUUUUGCAAACCAAAUCCAAAAAUGAAAGGUAUAUGAUACAAAAUCUGAGUAUUUGUCGAAAUCCAGAGAUGACGACGUAAAUGAUUUUGAUGUGAGAAGCACUUAACCGCGUCCAAAUAGCAAAUACGAACGUUUAUUUCUACCAAAUUUCAUUUCUAUGCUAGCUGAAAAUUUUACUAGGUCCAGUUCAAUGUUUCCCAGUUAUCUUUCCCCCAGUACCCACUAUAACUUUUCGGAAAAAUGUAAGCCCCUCUAGAGGUUGGGAAAAAACAACUUUAUUUUUGAUAUUUCAUCACAAUUAUUUAAUAUAAACGAAUCUGCCGGUAACUCUUUUAUCAAGUACUGAGUACAAGAAAAAAAGUACGUUAUUAACAAAGAAAUAAAAACAAAAAAACUGUGAAUCACUUUAAUGUAAACCUUGUGCCUGGUGACUAUGGCAGAUUUCUUUAAUUCGAGGAGACAAUUUUAUUAGCUUUAGCUAUAAAUCACCAUUUCUCUUGGCCAGAAGCAAAUCGUCAACAGUACUAAAACCACACUCAACCAAAUAAAACUAAAACUAAAAAAAACCCAAAAAACUUUGGGAUCCCAUGUCACACCACGAUUUUCCCAGCCACCACCAUGGGACGUAUGACCCUCGUUGGGAAUCACUGGACCAGCUGUUAUCAGAAUUUCAGAUAUUUUCAGUGACAUGGUAUAUAUUCUUGUAUUUUGGUGUUUUUGUGCAACUUAGGAACCACUACAGUUUUGUAAAAGAAAUGACAGCAGUUCUUGGGACAAAAUAAGCAGAAGCACCAACAAUUUCCUCAGAAUAUUCCCUUUGAAACAUUCCUAAUAAUGGAAGCAUUUGUUAUGCUUCCAGUGACAAAAUUAAGGAUUAUUAAUUACCAGGUACUUGCAAGAACUUUAAGGGCAAUAAGCGGGGCAGUAACUAUUAUUGCUAAAUUACUACCUUGUUGAACUCACAAUAAAACUGGAAAGAAUUAUAUGAACAACCUGUGUACAGUAUAUUCAUACACGAACGUAGUGGCUUACGUGCAGGCAUGGCUAUGAUAUUAAUAAGAUUUCUUUGCAACCACUUGAAUUCGGGUCAAAUCCACUGCAUGGCACCUUGGACCUGUCUGUUCUAGACGGUAAUUAGACGGUAACUGUGUGAAAACCUAUCGGAUAUAUGUAUGAAUAUAUAUAUAUAUAUAUAUAUAUAUAUAUAUAUAUAUAUAUAUAUAUAUAUAUAUGUGUGUGUGUGUGUGUGAGUGUGUGCGCGUUUGUGUGUAUAUGCAUACGCCUAUGUAUAUAUAUAUAGACACACACACACACACACACAUAUUCAUUAAUAUUAAUAUUUAGCAGAAGCAACAAAGUGACAAAAGGAACGAGAGUUUCGUGCGUUGGCACUUGAGCUUCAUGUUUUGGGACUUGAUAAGUGCCAACGCACGAAACUCUCGUUCCUUUUGUCACUCUGUUGCUUCUGCUAAAUAUUACUAAAAAUGUACAUAUACUCAUAUUUUGAGUUAUAUUUUUCCCGUUUGCAUCAACAUACACACACAUACACAAAUAUAUAUAUAUAUAUACGUAUAUAUAUACAUACGUAUUAUAUAUAUAUAUAUAUAUAUAUAUAUACAUAUAUAUAUAUAUGCAUUACAUAUGUAUAUAUAUAUGCAUAUACAUAUAUGUAUAAUUAUACAUAUAUAUACAUAUACAUACAUAUAUAUAUAUAUAUACACAUAUAUAUAUACAAACAUUUAUAUACAUAUAUAUACAUACAUAUAUAUACAUAUAUAUACAUAUAUAUAUUUAUAUAGAUAUAAUUACAUAUAUAUAUACAUAUAUACUUAUAUAUAUACACACACACACACACACACACACACACACACACACACACACACAUAUAUAUAUAUAUAUAUAUAUAUAUAUAUAUAUAUAUACAUAUAUAUAUAAUAUAUGUAUGUAUAUAUAAAUGCAUAGAAAAUACAUCAUUUACAGACAUCGCCAAUGAAUGAAAAAUACAUAAUGAGAAACAAGUACGGGACAAAAUCCCACAAGAAGUCUAACCCCUCCUCAGUUGUCGACUGUUACUUACUCCCUGCAUGCAUGCAAACAUACAAUGCAUACACCCUUGCUUGCAUGUUCCUGUGUCGUUGUGUUUGUCUCCCCUCGCACCGUUUACCUCCCCGUAACUUUGUCUUUAGACAUAAGAGAGAGAUACAGUAAGUACUAAACUUAAAAACAGUAUCGGGGUCACUUUGUUCAACUAAUCAUACAAAGUACUGCUCCAGUAUGACCGCAGUCCGAUGACUGAAAAAAAAAACAGUAAAAGAGAAAAAGGUUGAUACUGAGGCAAGUGACAAGCCAACAGUUCUCUGCCAACUCAAUGUUUUAAUUCUUGGUUAGAGGAUUUGUCCGUUCUUUGUCAAGCCAAAAAUCAUUUAGAUGAACACUCGAGCAGUAGAACGUUACCACCUUUAUGCCUCUUUCGAAAAAAAAAAUGGUUAUAUUCCUUCCCGAUAAAUUAUUAUUGAAUUCUAUUUCUUAUUCCAGAUUUUUAAUUCAAAUAAUUUUAGCCCCGUUUCUUUUCUUUUCUUUUUUAAUUGUCCAUGUAAGAACUUUACAUUACCACUGCAGCCCUGUGAAACUUUGGGCUUGUCUAUUUAGCAAUAACCACACGUUGACUAAAGCCACUUGAAUAGAAUUUGGUAGACAUACACUGCUGUGUGAAAGUUUAACGGUUGGACAGUUCCUGUUCUUUAGGGAUAGGCUCAAUCCGUGGCAGAAGGCGCUCCAGUUUGAGGAUAACUUCCUCUUUCUCUAAUCUCGCAGGCCCUGUAAAGGUUCAUAGACACGGAUCUUCGUUCUUUGACGAAAUUAAUGGUAAAAACAGUAUAUAAGUUACAACCACAUGCAAUUACUACUGGUUCGUGGAAGUCAACUUUUUCUGGUAAAGGCGUUUUCCCUUAAUGUUUUCAUUUCCUGAUUUGACGUUAUUAAUAUUUCCUCUAAGUUUUUGAGUGCCAAAUUUCUGUACUUUUUGGUCAUAUUUGUUGUAGUUGGUUAGUUAUGAACAUAAUGAACAUACUUUAUGUUAGUAUAUAAAAACUACACACACACACACGCGCGCGCGCUCACACACACACACACACACACACACACACACACACAUAAAUGUAAGAUCUAGGGAUCGAGGAGUAGGAAGAAAGUUAGCUUCAAGCAAUCCGUAGUAAAUAUUAAAAAUAACUUCCAGGGACAAUAGAGGUUUAUUGAGACGGGAGGUUGCCGAUUUUUUUUUUUGUAUCGAAGCUGAAAAAAAGUUCUCUCUAUAUUUCACGGUAGGCGAUCAGGGUUGCCGGGUGUGCGAAUAAGAACACAAGAGUUACGGACCUGAAUAGGAAAUAUCCGGGCUACAUAUAUUUCAUAACGAACUGAACCUCAGAAGUGGUAAGAAUCCAAAACGAGGUGUAUACCACCGGCUGUUCUUCAGGCCAAGGCCAUCUUGAGUGAAUUAAGGGUUACAUUGUCUCAAGGAGGUACAUCUUGACGCAUUUAAUCAAAAUAUCCUUGGCCUGAAGAGUAGCCGGCGGUAUACACCUUCCUUGGAUUUUUACCACUUCUGAGGUUCUUCUCGCUAUGAAACAUAUGUAGUCUGAAUCUUACCUACUCCAUUCUAUAACUCUUGUAUAUAUAUAUAUAUAUAUAUAUAUAUAUAUAUAUAUAUAAUUAUGAGUAUAAUUAUAAUUAGGGUUCAGCAAAAGAUUUGUUUCACCACAUAUAUGUAUGUAUGUAUGUAUGUAUGUAUGUAUGUAUGUAUGUAUGUAUGUAUGUAUGUAUGUAUGUAUGUAUGUAUGUAUAUAUAUAUAUAUAUAUAUAUAUAUAUAUAUAUAUAUAUAUAUAAAGUUAACAUUUUCAAUGUCCCAAAGUUGAUGAACCAACUAUUGUUCUCUUCCAUUUUCUUAUUUGCAAUAUAUAUAUAUAUAUAUAUAUAUAUAUAUAUAUACAUACAUACAUACAUACACACAUAUAUGCAUGUACAUAUUUAUAUAUGUAUAUAUAUAUAUAUAUAUAUAUAUAUAUAUAUAUAUAUAUAUAUAUAUGCAUGUGUGCGUAUGUGUAUGUAUAAAUAUUUGUAUGUAUAUGUGUGUGUGUGUGUGUGUGUGUAUAAAUACAUAUAUGUAUCUACAGAGAUAAUAAUGUAUAUUUAAACAUAUAUGUAUAUGUAUGGACAUAUAUGAGAUGUGGUGCCGAAAAGUUCCUCGCUUUGGGUAAAAGAAAAUACAGAUAAUUAUGAUUUUAUUCAGCAUAUUUCCCUCUCGGAAUUACACGCUCAUUGCAGCGGUCUUUAAAUUUUUGUAAGCCUUGUAAAUGAACUCGGAAAUUUGGGCCUCGAAGUAGUACUUUAGUGAUACCCUUAAAGACAGGAACUUAUCAGCACCCUCAUAUAUGUGUGUUUGUAUGUAUGUACUCUCUCUGUCUGUCUGUCUGUCUGUCUCUCUUUCUGUCUGUCUGUCUGUCUCUCUUUCUGUCUGUCUGUCUGUCUCUCUCUCUAUCUAACUAUUAUUGAAAGAAAUAAGGGGUUGUGAACUCAUUUCGUUAGUUACAUGGUCUUUCACUUGUGUAAGAUAUUGCUGUGAAUAAAACAUUCAGGGUGUGAUGGGUAAAUUGUAGCCGUUUUAUAAUUUUUUAUUUCGCGCAUGCUCAUUGUUUGUUUUUGAUUUUGUCGAUUACACAGUAUAGUAGGGUCAGUUGGGAACCGUCUCUGACAAAAACAACACCAUGACGCAAUUCACUCUGCCAGAAAUUUGGAAACGACAUUCUUACUGCUUGGCAUUCGCGCCGGAAGCUCUAAUACGAACAUCUCAGAUUCUUUGGGUGUCAGUCUGAGGACAGUGCAAUCUGAAGACAUGUACCGAGAGUGAUAAAAAUCAAACAUUCAGCCAACAUCAUGGUGUUUGGAAUGAUCACUAGUGACGGCGAUGUUAUGCCUCCAUUCAUCUUCCCAUACGUAUCACACUCAACAGGGAGGCCUACAUCAAGUGUCUGGAGGAGGUUGUGCUGCCCUGGGUGAAGAGGGUGGCUGUUGGAAGAUCCUAUGUCUAGCAACAGGACUCUGCACUAUGCCACACAAGCAGGAUCUCCCAGUCAUGGGUGUCAGACAAUUUCUGCAACCACAUUAUCUCUAGCAUCUGGCCACCUAACUUCACACACUGCAACCCUCUUGAUUAUUCUGUGUGGAGCACAGUUGAGCGAGAGACCAACAAAACGCCUUGUAACACCAAAGAUGAACUGAAAGCAAGGAUUAUGGCAGCAUUCUCCAACUUAAACAAGGAAACCGUUCAGAGGAGUUAUAGGAGAUUCCGAAGUCAUCUGGAGGUCGUGGUUGAAGUCAAUGGAGAUUUUAUUGAAUAAGUCUAAUCUUUAGUAUUUCAAGAUAUUUUUAUGCAAUUUUGGUAAAUAUAUCUGUUAAAAUGAGAUGUUAGUGAUAUUUUAAUUUUUGCAUAAUUUAUACAACUGUUUAUUCACCGCACCCUGUACAUAUUCUCACGCAUCGCAAAUGAGAUGUGUUUUGCUUCCAAGGAAUGUAUUUUAACAAUGGGGUAAAUGGGGUGGAACUUUGUCAAAGUAUGAUCUCCAAGUUGACAAAAAGUAUACCUUGUGCACUAUAUAUAUAUUUUUUGUUGUUUCAGCCAUUAUACUGCGGCCACGCAGAGGCACGGCCUUGACGAAUUUUAGUCGAAGGAAUCGAUCCCAGUAUUUAUUUUCCUUUUAAGCCUGGUAAUUAUUGUACGGUCCACUUUUGCCGAACCGCUAUAUCAAGGGGACGUAAACACACCAACGCCACAUGUCAAGCGGUUGUGGGGGAGAAGCACAGAUACAAGGACACACGUAUAUGUACCUACAUACAUGCAUACAUACAUACAUACAUACAUACAUACAUACAUACAUACAUACAUACAUACAUACAUACAUACAUACAUACAUACAUACAUACAUACAUACAUACAUACAUACAUAUAUAUAUAUGUGACGGGCUUAUUUCAGUUUCCAUCUACCAAAUAUACUCACAAAGCUUCAGUCGGCCCGAGGCUAUAGCAGAAGACACCUGCCCAAGGUGCCACGCAGUGAGAGUGAACCUGCAGCCAUAUGGUUGGGAAGAAAACCUUUUACCACACAACUAUAAGGGUGAUCACAAAAAAACAACACAAAAUAUAAAAAUAACAACAAAAACACAAAAAGUGAUGCUUCAGAUUUAAUCUUAUUUUGGUCUAUUCUAUUAUUGAAGUUUGAAAAAUAUGCUUAUGGUAAUAUGCUAGGCAGGCUCAGCAGCUAAUGAAGUCCUUCUCAACAACAGUCUUGGUCGAAUGUGCCUUGAAUGCCGUUGCGAAUAUAUUGCGUUAGAAAAAUGGCAGUUCGAGCUAAACUAACAGAAUGCGUUUUCUCAGUGUUUAGUUUAAUUUCCCUCCAAAAUGAGCAUUAAAUUAAAUGGUGGUUUUGAUGUAAGAGGAUUUCGUCAUUAUCCUCUAUAUUUUAUUAUGAUGAUACUUAAAGUAAUUUUGCUCUUCCGACGAAGAUAUUUCGUAUUCAAUUGUAUCAAAGCUUUAUGUUUCAUUCAAAUGAAAGUUUCAGUUUCAAAAACUGUUCCAUUAAUUGCCUGUGUAGAAGUAUAAUUGAUGACGAACUAUUGAAUGACAAAAUUGUGAUGGGUGACGGUUGUAACGGUGUGUCGGGACGAACUGAACAAAUCUGGGAUCAGAUGUAGUGAAUGUGACUGGCCGAUCUGAAUACAACUGUUGUGGUGAUUUCCUUGAUUUGUGCCUCAAAUGAUCAUACGAAAGAUGUAUAUAUAUAUAUAUAUAUAGAUAUAUAGAUCCACACACGGACAUCUAUAUGAAUAAUUGAGAGUAUGUGUAAGUAAAAAAAUAUCUUUAUAUAUAUAAAACUGAGAAUGUGUGUGUGUGUGUGUGUGUCUGUCUGUCUGUGUGUUUCCCUAAAACUUGAGAACUACACAAACAAUUUCAUUCAAAUUUUACACAUGCCUUACUUAGGGUCCGGGGGGGGGGGGUCAUCGGCAAAAAAAAAAUUGAACUUUUUGCCUAGGGCGAGCCCACAGCAAUAUCAUAUCUUCUCCACUAUGAUUCCUUAAAACUUGAGAACUACACAACCAAUUUCAAUCAAAUUUUACACAUGCCUUACUUAGGGUCCGGGGAAGGGGUGUCAUCGGCAAAAAGAAAAUUUUGAACUUUUUGCCUAGGACGAGCCCACAGCAAUAUCACAUCUUCUCCACUACGAUUCCCUAAAACUUGAGAAUUACACAACCAAUUCCAUUCAAAUUUUAAACAUGCCUUAUAUGUGAUUAAAAAUGCCCCGCCCCACCAGAAGUAGAGGUAGGCUGGAUUGUAGAUACACUUCUAUACAAGAGGGAGGACAAGAUACAAUUGAUCGA
rnacentral:lncRNA from 1 species